CGAACGGGUGAGUAUCACGUGGGUAAUCUACCCUCUGGCGGGGGACAACAUUUGGAAACGAAUGCUAAUACCGCAUAUGUCGGCUUCGGCCGGGAAAGGUGGCUUCGGCUAUCACCAGAGGAUGAGCCCGCGGCCCAUCAGCUUGUUGGUAGGGUAAUGGCCUACCAAGGCUACGACGGGUAGCUGGUCUUAGAGGAUGAUCAGCCACAUUGGAACUGAGACACGGUCCAG
rnacentral:rRNA from 1 species